UACGUAGGUGGCAAGCGUUGUCCGGAAUUAUUGGGCGUAAAGAGCGUGUAGGCGGCCCGGUAAGUCCGCUGUGAAAGUCGGGGGCUCAACCCUCGAAUGCCGGUGGAUACUGUCGGGCUAGAGUGCGGAAGAGGCGAGUGGAAUUCCUGGUGUAGCGGUGAAAUGCGCAGAUAUCAGGAGGAACACCAAUUGCGAAGGCAGCUCGCUGGGACGUAACUGACACUGAGACGGCGAAAGCGUGGGGAGCAAACAGG
rnacentral:rRNA from 1 species